AAUUUUUUACGAUGGGGGCAACCCUGAUCCAGCCAUCCCGCGUGUUCGUUGUAGGCAUUCGGGUUGGAAAGCACUUUUGGCAGGGAAGUAAAGGCUCUGGUUAAUACCUGGAGCUGCUGACGGAACCUUCAGAAUAAGCACCGGCUAACUACGUGCCACCAGCAGCGGUAAUACUUACGGUGCAAGCAUUAAUCGGAACGACUGGGCGUAAAGCGUGUGUAGUAGGUUCGGAAAGAAAGAUGAGGAGUCCCAGGGAUCAACCUUGGAACUGCAUUUUUAACUACCGAGCUAGAGUAGGGCAGAGGGGGGUAGAAUUACACGUGUUGCAGUGAAAUGCGUAGAUAUGUGGAGGAAUACCGAUGGCGAAGGCAGCCCCCUGGGAUAAUACUGACGCUCAGACACGAAAACGUGGGGAGCAAGCAGG
rnacentral:rRNA from 1 species